rnacentral:misc_RNA from 1 species
GAUGAAGAACGCAGCGAAAUGCGAUACGUAAUGUGAAUUGCAGAAUUCAGUGAAUCAUCGAAUCUUUGAACGCAUAUUGCGCUCUCUGGUAUUCCGGAGAGCAUGCUUGUUUGAGUAUCAGUAAACACCUCAACUUCCAUAUCUUUUUUGAAAUGGGAGUUGGACUUGAGUGAUCCCAACGCUUUUCCUCACCGAAAAGUGGCGGGUUACUUGAAAUGCAGGUGCAGCUGGACUUUUCUCUGAGCUAUAAGCAUAUCUAUUUAGUCUGCCUAAAAACAGAUUAUUACCUGUGCUGCAGCUAACAUAAAGGAGAUUAGUUCUUGUGCUGACUGAUGCAGGAUUCACAAAGACAGGCUUCGGCCGACUUUGUAAACUCGAUCUCAAAUCAAGUAAGACUACCCGCUGAACUUAAGCAUAUCAAUAAGCGGAGGA